rnacentral:piRNA from 1 species
GGAUAUGUUGUUGCCCUUACACU